CACGCUUACCCUCACCAUUGCACGGCGACCAUCGCGACCCACCACCACACCCGCCCUCGUUUUCCCACCCUCCGUUUCCUAGCAAGCUGGCACGGCGCGCAGUGUCCUCUCCGUCCCUGCCUCUCUCCCUCGUCCUUCGCCUCGUUCCAUCUAUUUUCUGUCUGUCUGUCUGUGUCUGCUUCUCGCGCGGCGUGUGCGCGUGCGUGUGUCAAGCGUUUUCUGUCUUGUGUGGUUUUGGCUUCUCUCCGGCGCUUACAGUCCCACAGAGGAGGACCCCAAUACAAUACAUACAUAUAUAUAUAUAUCCAUAUCUAUCUCCCCUCCCCCCUUCCUCCCAGCCUCAUCCGUCGCUGCUCGAUCGUUGUUGUUGCUGUCACGUGUCGUCGAAAAAGAAAAGAAAGCGGGGAGAGAUAGGAAAGAGGGCGAUCGGAGGUGCACUCACACAGCGACGGUGCGAGCGUGAUCAACGAGAGCCGGGAAAGGCGGGCGGAGGGAAACCUGCGGACCGCACGCGCACGUUUCGCCUCCCUCCUUCUUCAGACACACCACCCCCACCCCACCCAUUUCGCUUUCUGAUUUCGUUGUUGUUAGUCGCUUGCUGGUUUUUUUUUCUUUUUUCAAGUCAACGAGCCCCCCUCCUACUACUCCUCCUCCUCAUUGCGUUACCCGCCUGUCUGUGUCUGCCUGUCUGCCUUUGUGGGAGCCCAGUGGCGGAGACGCCAUUACCCUUUCGUUCGUUGCGCGCUUCGGCGCCAACGGCACACACACACACACACACGGAGAGAGUGAGGCGACAGCGGCGCCUCUAUACGCCAGCAGCGUUGCCUGUCUGUUCCGUGCAUUGGUUGAUCUUUGUUUUGGCUCCCUUCCCUUUUGCACACUGUCGUAUGAACAGCCUGCAGACGUCAGCCGCUGAUGCUGCCGUGGCGUGCCUCCGCGUUCUGCACCGUCUCCUGCAAGACGAGGAGGUGACACUGGCACAGCUGAGCUACCUUAUCGAGAAUGUGCACGAUCCGUUGGCCCACGUGUGUCUGCCGCCAAGCCAGCGGCCCAUGGUCGUGGCCAUUCCACAGCUGAGCUCGCCAUCGGCCAGUGUGUUGAACCGCUACAGCUCUCCCGCCAAGCACGCACAUCCGUCGGUGCCCUCGACAAUGGCCGCCGCGGCAGCUAAUGAGGUGAAAGCGCGACGCCUGCCACCCCAGCCCGCCGUGGUCGAGACGGCGGCGCCUGCGCCGAAAGAGGCAACGCCGCCCAAGACGGCCAAAUCGACUGGAAGGAUGCGCAAGACAUCCAGGAAAGCUUCGAGAACAGGUGCGGUGAGCACAAAAGCCUCCUCGUCGUCGUCGGCCAGUAGGGCGGAGGCGCGCGUCCCGCUGACCUUCAGUCAGUACUGGGCCAUCUUCGCCAAUCUACCUACGCUGUAUACGGUGCACCUCACCCUCGUGCAGCAGCUCGACAAGGUCCUUCUACGACUCACCCAAAUUGUGGAUGAGCUGCAUCCAGCGACGCAGGACACUGCGAGCAGCGAGGUGCUCCACUCCUCUGCUGCCAUACCUGUCCCCGACGCCGCCCUCAACACACGCAAGCACGCUUCAGCCCUUCGUAACCCUUCCGCCAGCCCGGCUGCAGGCGCUCGUAGCGUCUACAACGAGAUUGGCAUCAUGGUUUGCGAGUUCUUCGGGUCUGAGCUGAUGAAGCACUUCAUGGCGGAGCACAUGAUGUACACAGUCAAGUACACGCAGCAAGCAGCUCCGCAGCUGCUUCGGUUGUCGCGACUGUGGCGAUGGUGCGCAGAGUCAUCGGGGUCAUCCGGGGUGUCGGCGGCCUCCCUCACGCACCUGUCGGAAAUGGACCAGAAGACAAUUCUGCAAAACGAUCUCUUCUUGGACUUUCUCUGGCGCUCCUUCGGGCCAUCCGGCAUGCCAGAUGAUGAUCGGGUGUGCAUACCAGCGUCCCCGGAGCUGCAGCAGCGCACCGCGGCGGGCGGGCAGGGUCAGGCGCUGCCGCCGGCAAGAGCACUGGCCGGCGGCAGCGGUGGAGCUCGACGCUCUCGCCCUACCGCGGCAGCCUCGUCCCCUGCAGCCCGCCUCCCUCCUAUCCCAGCGAUGUGGGAAGGCUUCCGCACGCUCCUGGUGCUUCUUGCCACCCCGCUAAGCAUCCUGCGCCGCUACAGCCACGUGGCACGGUGCCUGGUGGAGAGCGGCGCGCUGCUGCCGAACUACCGUAAACGGCUGCAGAGCUGUUUCGUCGACGUCGCCGCGCUGCGCAUCAGCGAGGAGACGAACCUUGUCGUGGAGGAGCUCUGUCUGCACGACGUAAGAGGCAUCAUGGCACUUAUGGACAUCCCGGGUGCCUCGACGAACAGCGGAGGGUCCGGUGGUGAGCCGAGCAACAGCGGCGCUGUUGCAGCGCUCUGCUCCGCCGGAGCACCGGCGAAUCACAGCAGCCGCGUCCUUAUCCACUACGGUCGUCUGCUAAAGCGCUUUGGACGCGGUCGGCACGAGCGCCUCAUCUUCCUCUUCAGCGAUUGGAUGUGCUAUGCGGAGGAGAGCAGCAACGGCCGCUUCCGCGUGCGUGGCACGAUGCCGCUUUCAGGGCUGCGCGUGGUGGAAGCGCGCGAUGACCCGUCGUUGGGCACGGUCAACUGCUUCGAGCUCGUCCUGCCGAGCCUUUCAAAGCGUAUCACCCUCUACGCCGCCUCGCCCGAGCAGCGGGACCAGUGGGUGGACGCGAUCCGCUACACGGUGCGGCGAUUUGAAGCACAGAGACAAAGGCAAGCUGCGACGAACGGCUCGGCGCGCAGCAGCGACAUGAACACGGCGGCAGGAGACGGAGGCAUGCCGAGCGUGAUGCGGCCUACAGCGCCGAUGCUGAUGUCCAACUCCCGGCUGAGCCGUCAGCGACACAACGACAUCAAGUGGCAGGCGUACGGAAACCUCCAGCGGCGCACGACGGAGAUGGCGCCGCAAGCCUCGCAUAUGAUCUCUGGGGCGGCCCGGUUUCCGUUGCCUGCCGUGGCAGGUGGGCCGGUGGGCGGGUCGUCGUCCUUUCCUGUCUGCCACUCUCCGCCGCCGGCGAACAUCCCAUCCGGUGGCCCCUCGCCCAACAACAGCGCCGUCCGCCACCGCUCCGGUAGCACUCACCGACACCUCGACUACAACAUCGCGCCCUGGUCGGCACGCGCAUCCGUGCACCGCCGCAUCCGCAGCCAGGAACUUAUCGCAGUGCAUCAGCAGCAGCUCGCCGUGUCCUCAUCCCACAUCGCUACACCCACCCAAGCCGACGGUGCCCCGCCAGGGGGCGGCGGCGCGACGGUCGAAAGCAACUCCAACCUGAACCCCAUGGUCGUCCCUGCCCUCGACACAGGCAACAUGGAUAGCGCCUCACCGGUGCGCGCGGGGGACAGAAACGCGCCACCACAGAAGCAGCAUUCUCGCCAGAUCCUCUCCCCUAUCGCAUCGACGGCCGCCGUUGCCGCCUCUACUGAACGGCGCAGCAGCAGCUCCUUCCACUCCUUCACUAUCGACAUCAUGGUCAGCUCGAACCGCGGCAGCGGCGGCUCCGGCGUCAGCACCCCGUUGCGUCGCCCUGUAUCAGAGCGCUUCGAGGCGGUCAAGAUCAGCAGCCGCGGAGGAAACCCUCCCCACCAACCGCUGCAGGAGACUUUCGCGCUUCCAGAAAAAGCGGCGCGUCACCCCGGCGGCAAAAGAGUGGCAUCGUCGCCGGCAAGCAGCAGCAACAGCAGCAGUGGCGUGCUGGACAGCGUUAUCGGCACAGCAGGCCCACCGACACUCGUCACGGAUGGCAUACCGGCUUCUGGUGAGCCCCUUUCGGCUUCUGCGGGGGCACAGGCCUUGCGCCGUGCUGACUCGGGCCCGCCCAACAAAAGUGUCAUCUCAGUAGCCAAGGUCCCGCCAACGUCGGUUACGGUCGCCGAGGAGAACAACUCACGUGACUCGCGACCGGCCACCGCUGGCGACCAAAGUGCGAGCGGUACGGGCAGCGUCAUGAGUGCUGCUGCCCUGCUAGAGCAGAGCGUCAACGGUGGCGCAGAGGAAGAUGACUCGAUGACGGCCACGGCCGUCGUGACGGCGUUCCGCUCUCCAGGGGUCAUCUAUCACCGCCUCAUGACGCCCACGUCGCCUUUGGUGAUGGAGUCCAGACCCGCGGCGGUGCCCCGAGAAAGCAGCGACGUCCCGAGUCCUUUCAGGCCCAUCAUGGAUUCCUCAAUGGACUUCGACGCCAAUGUGCGAAAGCCGAUGGUGGCUGCGGAGCCGCUGCGGAAGACAGUGAAACCCUGCCACCUGGACCCAACUGCGAAGGUGUCUCACGGCGGCGACAGCGACGACGGCCCGGUGCAGCCGUGAAGCUGAAGCGAAAAAAACAAAGAGGAGGGGAGAGGCCUUCUUGCUUGUUUGCCCGGUUCUUUACCAUCCGCAUAUGUUCCCUUCCCUGACCCCAUCCCACCGCAGCACCGACACAAGCGCAAUCGACGACCAAACGACGUCUACUCUCGGUAACCUCUCCCGUGGCACUUUCCGCUCGCCCGCUGCCCGUGUGUGUGUGUGUGUGUGUGUGCAUGAGCGUGUCUGAGUGAGUCAUGCACCACCACCUGCGAGAGGAAAAGAAGAGGCGCUGGCAACGUGGCUCGAUCUUUCACAGCGUCCGCAGACAUCCUCGUCACCAAGUGCCUCUCCCUCCCUCUCUGCAUACGCCACCUAUUUAACGCUCAACCGCAUUCCGCGCCAUCUCUCCGGUGACCCUCUCACUACCACCACGGCAGCAGCAGCAGCUGCAGCAGCAUAUCUUUGUAAAAUGCAGGUCAG
rnacentral:misc_RNA from 1 species